rnacentral:lncRNA from 10 species
UUAUUCAGCUAUGAAAAGGAAUAAAACACUGAUACAUACUACAACAUGGAUGAAUCUCAAAAACAUUAUGCUAAGUGAAAAAAUAGUAACACAAAAAUACAGAUGAAAGGUCACACAUUGUAUGAUUUUAUUUAUAUGAAAUGUCCAGAAUAGAUAAAUCAAUAUAGAAAGAAAACAGAUUGGUGAUUGCCAGGGGCUGCAGGUAGGUGGGAAUGGGGACUAACUGCUUAAGGGAAAUAGUGUUUUAUUUUGGGUGAUGAAAAUUUCACAUAUUUUAUAAUGUAAAUUUCACCUCGAUUUUUUUUUAAAAAGUACCAGAGAUUGUUAUAACAGUCAGAUUACUGGUUACAUUUUGGGGAAGUGGUAACUGGAAGAUAACAUGAGAGGAGCUUCCAGGGUGUUGGUCAUAUUUUAUUUUUUGAUUUGGGUGUUGGUUACCUAGGUCUGUUCACUUUGUGAAAUUGUUAAGCUUAACACUUGUAAUGUGUUUUGUUUUUUGUUUUUGAGAUAGGGUUUUACUAUCAUCCAGGCCAGAGUGCAGUGGUGCAAUCAUGGCUCACUGUAGCCUCUACCUCGUGGCCUCAAGCGAUCCUCCCACCUCAGCCUCCUGAGCAGCUGGGACUAAAAGCACCCGCUCCCAUGCCCAGCUAAUUUUUCUAUUUUUUGUAGAGACAGGGUCUUGUUAUUUCACCCAGGCUGGUCUUGAACUCCUGGACACAAGUGAUCCUCCCGCAUGUUGAUCCUAUCCAACAUGGAUAGGAGAUUCAUCCAUGUUGGCCUCCUAAAGUGCUAGGAUUACAGGCAUGAGCCACUGUGCCCAGCCUGUUUUUAAAAUAUGAACAUUGUACUUUAAUAUAAAAGUUUACUUAGAAAAAAGUUAAGGCCGGGUGCGGUGGCUCACGCCUGUAAUCCCAGCACUUUGGGAGGCUGAGGUGGGCAGAUCACAAGGUCAGGAAAUCAAGACCAUCCUGGCUAACACGGUGAAACCCCAUCUCUACUAAAAAUACAAAAAAUUAGCCAUGAGUGCUGGCGGGCGCCUGUGGUCCCAGCUACUCAGGAGGCUGAGGCAGGAGAAUGGCCUGAACCUGGGAGGUGGAGCUUGCAGUGAGCCGAGAUUGCGCCACUGCACUCCAGCCUGGGCAACAGAGGGACAGAGCGAGACUCCGUCUCAAAGAAAAAAAAAAGAAAAAAGUUAAAUGGGGCCGGGCAUGGUAGCUCACCCUGUAAUCCCAGCACUUUGGGAGGCCGAGGCGCAUGGAUCACCUGAUGUCAGGAGUUCGACACCAGCCUGGCCAACAUGGUGAAACCCCAUCACUACUAAAAAUACGAAAAUUAGCUGGGCAUGGUGGCGGGCGCCUGAAAUCUCAGCUACUCGGGAGGCUGAGGCAGGAGAAUUGCUGGAACCCAGGAAGCAGAAGUUGCAGUGAGCUGAGAUCGUGCCAUUGCACUCCAGCCUGGGCAACAACAGCUAGACUCCAUCUCAAAAAAAAAAAAAAAAGAAAAAAGUUAAACGGUUACCAUAUGACUAUAUAUUCCUAGUUGUGCACCCUAGGGAACUAAAAACGUAUAUUUACACAAAAACUUGUACAUGAAUGUUCACAGAUUAUUCAUAAUAGGCAAAAUAUGAAAAUAGCCCAAAUGUCCAACAAUUAGUAGACAAAACAUGGUAUAUCCAUACAGUGGAAUAACUAGCCAUAAAAUACAAUGAUACAUGGUAUAACAUGGAUGAACUUUGACAACAUUAUGCUAAGUGAAAGAAGCCAGACACAAAAGAAAUUUAUUGUAUGAUUCCAUUUAUAUUAAAUGCUCAAAAUAGGCAAAUCCAUAGAGACAGAAAGGAGACUGGUGAUUGCCAGUGGCUUGGGAGUAGGGGUGACUGGGAGUAUCUGCUAAUGGGUAUAUGUUUUUUUUUAGAGGAUGAUGGAAAUGUUCUGGAAUUAGAUAGUGGUGAUAGUUGUACAACACUGAAGAUACGAAAAAUCACAGGACUAUACACUUAAAAAUGGUGAAUUUGGCCAGGCACAGUGGCUCACGCCUCUAAUCAUAUCACUUUGGGAGGCUAAGGUGGAAGGAUCACUUGAGCCCAGGAAGUGGAGGUUGCUGUGUGCCAUGAUUGCAGGACUGUAC